CUUUAGCGAGGCUGCGAUGGCGUCGGCACUGUCAGCAAUGUGUUGCCUGACCUGCCGCUAUCGCAGCCUCGCUCAAG
rnacentral:misc_RNA from 1 species